CAUUAGAUGGCUGAAACACUUAAAGCAAUGGUCUCUUAAACCAAAUCAUGAUACACCUAUCUCUAAUGA
rnacentral:tRNA from 1 species